GCUGAGGUAUUGGAGGCCCCCACCGACAUACUCCGGCAAUGAACCAGAGAUGACGUUGUUGGAGAGAACAAGUGAUUGAAGCUCAGAAGCGUUGAACAACGAGGGCGGGUAGAGUUCCAUUGAAGGAAUUAUUGGAGAGAUCGAGAUGAUGAAGGUGUUCGAUCAU